rnacentral:rRNA from 1 species
UACGGGGGGGGCAAGCGUUGUUCGGAAUUACUGGGCGUAAAGGGCUCGUAGGCGGCCAACUAAGUCAGACGUGAAAUCCCUCGGCUUAACCGGGGAACUGCGUCUGAUACUGGAUGGCUAGAGGUUGGGAGAGGGAUGCGGAAUUCCAGGUGUAGCGGUAGAAAUGCGCAGAUAUCAGGAGGAACACCGGUGGCGAAGGCGGGUCUCUGGGCCGUAACUGACGCGUGGAGGAGCGAAAGCUGGGGAGCGAACAGG